rnacentral:rRNA from 1 species
AGUGAACGCUGGCGGUAGGCCUAACACAUGCAAGUCGAACGGCAGCACAGUAAGAGCUUGCUCUUUCGGGUGGCGAGUGGCGGACGGGUGAGGAAUACAUCGGAAUCUACUUUUUCGUGGGGGAUAACGUAGGGAAACUUACGCUAAUACCGCAUACGACCUACGGGUGAAAGCAGGGGAUCUUCGGACCUUGCGCGAUUGAAUGAGCCGAUGUCGGAUUAGCUAGUUGGCGGGGUAAAGGCCCACCAAGGCGACGAUCCGUAGCUGGUCUGAGAGGAUGAUCAGCCACACUGGAACUGAGACACGGUCCAGACUCCUACGGGAGGCAGCAGUGGGGAAUAUUGGACAAUGGGCGCAAGCCUGAUCCAGCCAUACCGCGUGGGUGAAGAAGGCCUUCGGGUUGUAAAGCCCUUUUAUUGGGAAAGAAAAGCAGCAGGUUAAUACCCCGCUGUUCUGACGGUACCCAAAGAAUAAGCACCGGCUAACUUCGUG